GACGAACGCUGGCGGCGGGCUUAACACAUGCAAGUCGAACGGCAAGGCCCUGCUUUUUUGGUGUUCUCGAGUGGCGAACGGGUGAGUGACACGUGUGUAUCCUACCCUACACUUUGGUAUAGCUUCAGGAAACUGGGGCUAAUACCGUAUCGCAUCUCCUGCUGCAUGGUAGGGGUUGGAACUUUUCGGCUGUUGGGGUUGGACUCGCGGCUUAACAGUUUGUUGGUGGGCGAGUUGCUUACCCAGGAUUUGACGGGUAGGCGGCAUGAGAGGGUGGCCGGGCACAAUGGGACUGAGAGACGGCGCAGACUCCUAUAGGAGGCAGCAGGGGGGAAUAUUGCACAAUGGGAGGAAGUCUGAUGAAGAAACGCCGCGGGCGGGAAGACGGCCUUCGGGUUGUAAACAGCUUUAGGCUGUGACGAAGCGUGAGUGACGGUAAUGGAUAAAGAAGCACCGGCUAACUACGUG
rnacentral:rRNA from 1 species